UACAGAGGGUGCGAGCGUUGUCCGGAAUCACUGGGCGUAAAGGGCGCGUAGGUGGCGACCCAAGUCGAUGGUGAAAGCUCGCCGCUCAACGGCGAGUCGGCCACCGAUACUGGGUUGCUUGAGCACUGUAGAGGCUAAUGGAAUUCCGGGUGUAGCGGUGGAAUGCGUAGAGAUCGGGAAGAACAUCAGUGGCGAAGGCGGUCUGCUGGGCCGUUGCUGACGCUGAGACGCGACAGCGUGGGGAGCAAACAGG
rnacentral:rRNA from 1 species